AGUAAAUUUUAAUGUUCGUUAAAAUAUAAAUAAUAAAACACUGUAUAUUUAAUUAAAUCGGAUAAUUAAAAUAAAUAUCGAAUAUUAUUAUGACAUACCUGGUACAUUGUUUCACGGUUUUUGCUCCAAAUUUUAAAGAGCCGCUUGGAUUGACAUAAGAUUUGUCAAAGAAAAGUGAUGUUGUGCCGAUGUGUGCUUUUGCCACGGGACGGGGGUUAGUUUUACCCCUUCUCGGGGGUGAAAACAUAUACGUUCAAAAUAAGUCAGGAAAUGGUUAUGCUGACUACAUAAUUCUAAGCAACUUUUGUUCUAUUGCGUUUUUUCACAAAAUGAACACUUUUCGAAUUAUUUGCAAGUGAAUAUGUUCAUUUUUUAUUAAAAAAACUACGUUUUAGACGGUUUUUCGUAAAUAACUCAAAAAGUAAGUAUUUUUUAAAGCUUCUAAUAUAGCAUCAAAAUUAAGCAAGAUAAGCUCAGACUAAAGUUGGUCUCUUCUUUUGCCAAAAUGGCUCGGGAAAAUAACUCGUAAUUAGCAUCUUAAAUCAAAUUAUUUGUUACCGCUUCAAAGGUUACUUUACUUAUGAAUUAUUUAUAUUAUGAUCUGUAAGUUUCAUUGGUUCAAAGAGAUUAUUUAAAAAAAAUGGUUUUAUUGUAAACUAUUUUAAAAUUUUUAUUUUGCAAAAAAAUUUUUUUUUUCAAUUAAUUUAAAAUUGAUUAGGGAUACCAAAAAUCAUUGAGAGUAAAAAAUGUAGGUUUUGCUUUUUGGAUAUUUUGGAUUUUUUGUUUUUCUGUAAGACAAAUAUUGGUUGAGAUAUGGCUGAUCAAAAUUUGAAUAAACUCGUGAUUGGUGACUAGUUCAAGCCCUUUCAACUAGAGCCCCUUCAAAAAUAUGCGCUUUUGACAGAUGAAACUUACAGAUCAUACACAAUACACAAUACAUACACGAGUUAAGUAAACUUUGAGGUAGUAACGAUUAAUUUCAUUUUUGAUGCUAAUUAGGGGAUGAUUUUCACGAUUUUUUAGCAAAAAAAAUAGGAACAACUUAAUUUUGAGAGAAAUUUCCUUAUGUUUAAUGCUUGAAACUUUUUUAAAAACAUAAACCAAGCUUUUUUAAAACACUUUAAAAAAGUUUUAAUUAGUUUUCCCCAAAAAUUGCUUCAUUUUUUGGUUAUAUCAUGUUGAAAUAUUCCAUUCGGAAUUUGGCGAAUAUGAACCUAUUUUUCAUUAGUUACAACUCUUCUUUUACUGGAUCUAGCGAUCUUAUGCAUACACUACUUUUGCAUAAACGGUUUUUUUCGGUAAAAUGCUUCCUUUUGGAGUUAUUUGCAAAAAGUAUUCGAAAAGCAUUAACUUGUGAGCGAAGCGAAAAGUGAAAAAAGGCUAUAAAACAAAAUUUGAUUAGAAUGAGUUUGUUUAUUCAUUUCCGGACUUAUUUUGAACAUAUAUUUUUUCAACCCCGAGAAGGGGUGAAACUAAGCUCCAGGGCAAAAGCACACAUCGGCACAAUAUCACUUUUCUUCUUUGACACGUUACCUAUGUGUAUACCAAAUUUCAUGUCAAUCUAAGCGGUUCUUUAAAAUUUAUAGGUUUUGCAAUAUUUUACCGUCAAAGAACGUACUAAUAUUGUCCGGAGUCUCUUAAAGUCGUGAGUUGAGAUCUUCCUACGUAAUAAUACACAUAGUUUAAAAAGUUAUGCAUCACCUAUAAUUAUGAUUUUUCUUUGGUAUCUUCUUUUUCGAAUAAGGUGGAAAGAUUCCUAACUCCACUAGGGAAGGUGUCCCUAGUACUAAUUGAAUUCCAUCAAAUCAGAGACGUACGUCAACGGCAUGGUGUCAAACUAAGUGACAGAGGGCGCCCUUCGGAAAUCCCUGCCAGGUCGCCUACCAACUAGAACCACCCCCUAUUCGACCAGAGGUAUCCCUGGACUGAGUUUAUUUUUGCACGAAACAUGGGAAUACCCAGAGCAGACAGGAUUAAAGGUGCCCUUAGAGGUGGUAAUUAUGUUACCUACAGCACUUACCUAAAAGCGGUGAGCGUGUACCUAAAAGCGGUGAGGAACUUGGGAACAUGGAAGAAAAAGGUUGCCCUAAAGGGUAACCUGAUACAUUUUUAUAUGAUGAAAGAAAAAGAAAGAAAAAAAAAUGUUUUUUUAUUUCUUAUUUUUAUAUUUAACCCCUAUGAAGGAGGUAGACUUCUUCACCCAGCCUGCUCUUUACAUUAUAGUCUUCCUUCUCAUGAUGCUUGUUAUAUGGUCGAUUAUAUACUCGAAAUUCUCUUUAUCGUCAUUAUAAUCUGCAUGAUGUUGUUGGGCUUGAUAGCGCCAAACCUAUUCUGCAGCCUUUGUUGUUCUACAAAGAAGUAGGGAUGGCGGUUUUUGACAAAACACCGGUUUUCGGUUAUACCGGUUUUUUUGCUUACGGUUUAACCUGGCGGUUAUAACCGGCCAAAAAAAAAACAGUUUUUGGAAAAACCGGUUUUCGGUUUCUUUAAUCCAAUAGGUUACAAACUUACAUUUACAAUGCACUUUAGUUUGCACCGGUUUUCGGUUUUUUUAAUCCGAUAGGUUACAAAGUCCUCAAAAUCCAUUCGACUCGAUAUCAAUAUGAUCAAAAUUAGUACUAUCGAAAGAACAUGUACUACUUUUAACACGUUUGUAUAUUUGUAGAAUAGGUAUAUUUUAACUCAUUUAAUACUUCCUGUAUGAGUGUAUCGUUUUGAAAACGUAGCGAAAUUCUUGGAGAUUGUAUUCGCAAUCAGUAAUUCGAUAUUCAUAGUCGAGCAUUAUUUUUGGUAAUCAGAAAAAGUCAUUCACCCACUUUCAAUGUCAAGAGUUAAGUGUGAAAAAUAGAUGAUGUUUGCGUCUAAUUCAACCAGAUCACUUCUUAUGUAAAUAUUAUGAUUAUAAAUAACUUUUCAAGGAAAUAUUAUAAUAAAACUUAAUAAUUGUUUCUGGCUGAUGCACUUUAAGUUUGCUUCUGUAUUUUAUAAAAUAAAAUAAAAUUUGAAUUA